rnacentral:snRNA from 2 species
AUCGCUUCUCAGCCUUUUGGCUAAGAUCAAGUGCAUUUAAACAGCUAUAUUAUAUUUCGUCUUAUGGAGAGACCACAAAUUUAACAAGUCUGUGGUUUUGAUUGUUUCCAUUUCUUAGCAGUUGUAAAUGAUAACAGAGUGAAC